GGGUCUAGACUGCAGUCGAACGAUUAAGACUCCCUUCGGGGAGUGCAUAAAGUGGCGCACGGGUGAGUAACACGUAAGUAAUCUACCCUCGAGUGGGGAAUAACAUCGGGAAACCGAUGCUAAUACCGCAUAAUGCAGCGGCACCGCAAGGUGACAGUUGUUAAAGGAGCAAUUCGCUUGAGGAGGAGCUUGCGGCAGAUUAGCUAGUUGGUAAGGUAACGGCUUACCAAGGCUACGAUCUGUAUCCGGCCUGAGAGGGCGGUCGGACACACUGACACUGAAUAACGGGUCAGACUCCUACGGGAGGCAGCAGUCGGGAAUUUUGGGCAAUGGGCGAAAGCCUGACCCAGCAACGCCGCGUGAGGGAUGAAGUAUUUCGGUAUGUAAACCUCGAAAGAAUAGGAAGAAUAAAUGACGGUACUAUUUAUAAGCUCCGGCUAACUACGUGCCAGCAGCCGCGGUAAUACGUAGGGAGCAAGCGUUGUUCGGAUUUACUGGGCGUAAAGGGCGCGUAGGCGGCAUAUUAAGUCAGCUGUGAAAUCUCCGAGCUUAACUCGGAACUGUCAGCUGAUACUGAUGUGCUAGAGUGCAGAAGGGGCAAUCGGAAUUCUUGGUGUAGCGGUGAAAUGCGUAGAUAUCAAGAGGAACACCUGAGGUGAAGACGGGUUGCUGGGCUGACACUGACGCUGAGGCGCGAAAGCCAGGGGAGCAAACGGGAUUAGAUACCCCGGUAGUCCUGGCCCUAAACGAUGAAUACUUGGUGUCUGGAGUUUCAAUACUCCGGGUGCCGUCGCUAACGUUUUAAGUAUUCCGCCUGGGGAGUACGCACGCAAGUGUGAAACUCAAAGGAAUUGACGGGGACCCGCACAAGCGGUGGAGCAUGUGGUUUAAUUCGACGCAACGCGAAGAACCUUACCUAGGCUAGA
rnacentral:rRNA from 1 species